UUAUGUCCAAACACCUAUUUAAAGCUACAGUGUGUAAUAUUUAGUGUCAUCUAUUGGCGAGGUUGCAGAUUGCGUUAUGCUGUUGCUGGUCACGAUUUUGUUCCCCUUCAUGUUUUCAUUUCUCUGGUGACGGGUUCACAGUCUCUUGUCUUCUCUUGUGAUAAGCAGUAUGGUUGGUCCUCUAUUUUAUAAAAAUGAAGGUUCUCACACUUGCUAGCCUGCACGAGCAACCACUAGAUAACACAGCGAAGCAGCUACUGAUACCUCUUCAGUUUUGGAACUACACCGCAAAAUGCAAGAGUACGUGUGUCCCUUUUGGCUACUGUAUCAGCAUGUUGUCCUCUAUUUCCCCUAAUCAUUAUCCCUGAAUUCUACACACUAUAGCUUUAAAGAAAAUAAACAAUUGACAGAUUACCAGACUAAUAUUCAUAAAUAAAUAAAGCUUAAAACUGAGCCAGAAAGUGAAACUCUCAAUUUGCCCAUCGAUUUACAGUCCUGUGUUCAUAAACUAUGGAUAUAAUGACCAAAAGAACAAGGUUGUGGAUACAAGCGGUGGAAAUUGGAUUCCUCUGUCAAGUAUAUAUGUUCUACACUCAGGGACAGAGUACGAAGUUCCCAUUGUGCAAUGAAGAUACCCCCUAGUCAUCUCCCUAGGGAGGUCUUCCAGGCAAAUGCAACUGGGAGGAGGCCCCGGGGGCAGAUCAAGGACACAAUGGAGGGAAUAUAUUUCCCAGUUGGCUUGGAAACAUCUCUGCAUGAAGAUGUAGAGGACUGCCAAGGAUAGGGAAGUAUGGGAUGAGCUGCUUGGUCUGCUGCCCAGAUAACCAUCAGGAAAUGAAUGAAUCAGACUGGAUUUCUUCAUAAUUGUCGUGCCUGAUAGUCAGUGAUCACUGUUAUAAAAUGCAAAAACCGUGAUGAAAUACAUACUGAUUUUUGUCAGAAUUUGUUUUUAGAUAACUUGAAGGAACAAUGUUUUUUUUAAUGCUGAAAGGAUCCUCAUAUUUUACUAAUUUAUAUUUAUUUAGUAAUAUUAUUUAGCAGCUGUUCACUAUUUGUAAAUGUUGUAUAUGCUUGAAUUGUGGCUAACACAUUUGCACAGUACUGUCACAAAAUGUCCAAAUAAUCUGUUGUCAGCAGGUUGUUUUUAAUUACUGAGACACAGCUGUAGAUAUAUGAUUUUUAUUUUUUCUUUAUAGAGUGCACAUUCUGCUCUCACUGUGUCAGAGUGUUUGUGCUUUUGCCCUUCUCUGUGUGACUGCACAGAAUAAGUCAAAAACGGAGUCUUAUAGUUUCUGUUCCUUCUUUGUAGGAGUAGGUUUUAGGAUUGUGAACAGUUCAUUAGCAGGAAUUGGUGAAAGGCUUUUUAAUUGUUUUGUUGAGAAUGUUUGCAAUUCAUGCUUUGGCAGAGGUUUGCACUCUACAAUGCAGUCUGAACAGUUUUUUUUUUUCCUUCACACAUUUUAGAAAUAUUAAAUAAGAAUGAUAUUGAAUGUCAGUCUGUUGUAAUUACAAAAUGACGAGAUGAUCAGAAGAACUUACUUCAUAAUUUAUGAUGUAAUGUAGUGAUUAACAACAAGUAUGGAAAAAGUUUUGCAUCUGAAAGUGCGUAUAAUGCAGAAAUUACAAAAAAAAAAACCUGGAAUCUAUUUUUAAUAAAUUUAUGCUAAAGUGU